rnacentral:rRNA from 1 species
UACAGAGGUGGCAAGCGUUGUUCGGAAUUACUGGGCGUAAAGGGCGCGUAGGCGGCCUUCUAAGUCAGACGUGAAAUCCCCCGGCUUAACCUGGGAACUGCGUCUGAUACUGGGAGGCUUGAGGUUGGGAGAGGGAUGCGGAAUUCCAGGUGUAGCGGUGAAAUGCGUAGAUAUCUGGAGGAACACCGGUGGCGAAGGCGGCAUCCUGGACCAAUUCUGACGCUGAGGAGCGAAAGCCAGGGGAGCAAACGGG